CAUUGGAAAUGUGAUUAACAUCAACAUAAUCUACCUGAGCGAGGUGUUUCCCACCAAUGUCCGGGCUCUUGCUACCGGAGUUGCUCAGACCAUAUUUGGAGUCGGAGGUGUCAUCCAGCCAUUUCUUAAUCAGCCUUUCAACCAUGGAACCUGGGAUGCCGUCUUCUACGCGAUUGUCAUGUUGCUCGCGACACUGGUGGUGUUCCCCUGGCCAGAAACCAAAGGCCGGCCGCUGCCGGAUUUCGUGGAAAACG